AUUGAACGCUGGCGGCAGGCCUAACACAUGCAAGUCGAGCGGAGCGGCGGACGGGUGAGUAAUGCCUAGGAAUCUGCCAGGUCGUGGGGGAUAACGUCCGGAACCGGGCGCUAAUACCGCAUACUAUCAGAAGAGCCUAGGCCGGAGUAGCUAGGUGGGGGGGUAAAGGCCUACCAAGGCGACGAACCGUAACUGUUCUGAGAGGAUGAGCAGUCACACUGGAACGUGGACACGUUCCAGACUCCUACGGGAGGCAGCAGUGGGGAAUAUUGGACAAUGGGCGAAAGCCUGAUCCAGCCAUGCCGCGUGUGUGAAGAAGGGCUUCGGAUUGUAAAGCACUUUAAGUUGGGAGGCGUUACCAACAGAAUAAGCACCGGCUAACUUCGUGCCAGCAGCCGCGGUAAUUC
rnacentral:rRNA from 1 species